GUAGGGAAUAUUGGUCAAUGGACGAAAGUCUGAACCAGCCAUUCCGCGUGCAGGAAGAAGAUUCUAUGGAUUGUAAACUGCUUUUAGCAGAGAAGAAACGCCUUCAUUGAUGAGGGUUUGACGGUAUCUGCGGAAUAAGCACCGGCUAACUCCGUGCCAGCAGCCGCGGUAAUACGGGGGGUGCAAGCGUUAUCCGGAAUCACUGGGUUUAAAGGGUGCGUAGGCGGGAAAUUAAGUCAGUGGUGAAAGUCUGUUGCUUAACGAUAGAAUUGCCGUUGAUAAUGAUUUUCUUGAAUUGGGUUGAGGUUAGCGGAAUGUGACAUGUAGCGGUGAAAUGCAUAGAUAUGUCAUGGAACACCAAUUGCGAAGGCAGCUAGCUGGGCCUUGAUUGACGCUGAGGCACGAAAGCGUGGGUAGCGAACAGGAUUAGAUACCCUAGUAGUCC
rnacentral:rRNA from 1 species